rnacentral:rRNA from 1 species
AGAGUUUGAUCAUGGCUCAGAACGAACGCUGGCGGCGUGCCUAACACAUGCAAGUCGAGCGAGAAAGCGGCUUCGGCCGUAAGUAAAGCGGCGCACGGGUGAGUAACACGUAGGCAAUCUUCCGUCGGAAUCGGGAUAACCUGCCGAAAGGCGGGCUAAUACCGGAUAACGUCACGAGGUCUUCGGGCCUUGUGACAAAAGGCAGCUCGAAGAGGGUUGCGUCUGACGAUGAGCCUGCGGCCCAUCAGGUAGUUGGCGGGGUAACGGCCCACCAAGCCUAGGACGGGUAGCUGGUCUGAGAGGAUGAUCAGCCACACUGGAACUGAGACACGGUCCAGACUCCUACGGGAGGCAGCAGUGGGGAAUUUUGGACAAUGGGCGCAAGCCUGAUCCAGCAACGCCGCGUGGGUGAUGAAGGCCUUCGGGUUGUAAAGCCCUGUCGGGAGGGACGAAAGAACAGAGUAACGAACUGGAAUGACGGUACCUCCAAAGGAAGCACCGGCUAACUCUGUGCCAGCAGCCGCGGUAAUACAGAGGGUGCAAGCGUUGUUCGGAAUUACUGGGCGUAAAGCGCGUGUAGGUGGCAUGGUAAGUCUCGUGUGAAAGCCCUGGGCUCAACCCAGGAAGUGCGCGAGAUACUGCCGUGCUGGAGUGAUGGAGAGGAUGGCGGAAUUCCCGGUGUAGAGGUGAAAUUCGUAGAUAUCGGGAGGAACACCUGUGGCGAAGGCGGCCAUCUGGACAUUUACUGACACUGAGACGCGAAAGCGUGGGUAGCAAACAGGAUUAGAUACCCUGGUAGUCCACGCUAUAAACGAUGGAUGCUAGAUGUCGCGGGUAUUGACCCCUGCGGUGUCGACGCUACGCAUUAAGCAUCCCGCCU